rnacentral:rRNA from 1 species
CCUACGGGGGGCUGCAGUGAGGAAUAUUGGUCAAUGGACGAGAGUCUGAACCAGCCAAGUAGCGUGAAGGAUGACUGCCCUAUGGGUUGUAAACUUCUUUUAUAUGGGAAUAAAAUGUUCCACGUGUGGGAUUUUGUAUGUACCAUAUGAAUAAGGAUCGGCUAACUCCGUGCCAGCAGCCGCGGUAAUACGGAGGAUCCGAGCGUUAUCCGGAUUUAUUGGGUUUAAAGGGAGCAUAGGUGGAUUGUUAAGUCAGUUGUGAAAGUUUGCGGCUCAACCGUAAAAUUGCAGUUGAAACUGGCAGUCUUGAGUACAGUAGAGGUGGGCGGAAUUCGUGGUGUAGCGGUGAAAUGCUUAGAUAUCACGAAGAACUCCGAUUGCGAAGGCAGUUCACUGGACUGCAACUGACACUGAGGCUCGAAAGUGUGGGUAUCAAACAGGAUUAGAUACCCGUGUAGUC